GUGAGGGAGAGCUUGCUCUCUGGAUCAGUGGCGAACGGGUGAGUAACACGUGAGCAAUCUGCCCCUGACUCUGGGAUAACAGUUGGAAACAGCUGCUAAUACCGGAUACGAGCUUCGAAGGCAUCUUCAGAAGCUGGAAAGAACUUCGGUCAGGGAUGAGCUCGCGGCCUAUCAGCUAGUUGGUGAGGUAAUGGCUCACCAAGGCGUCGACGGGUAGCCGGCCUGAGAGGGUGACCGGCCACACUGGGACUGAGACACGGCCCAGACUCCUACGGGAGGCAGCAGUGGGGAAUAUUGCACAAUGGGCGCAAGCCUGAUGCAGCAACGCCGCGUGAGGGACGACGGCCUUCGGGUUGUAAACCUCUUUUAGCAGGGAAGAAGCGAAAGUGACGGUACCUGCAGAAAAAGCGCCGGCUAACUACGUGCCAGCAGCCGCGGUAAUACGUAGGGCGCAAGCGUUAUCCGGAAUUAUUGGGCGUAAAGAGCUCGUAGGCGGUUUGUCGCGUCUGCUGUGAAAACUGGAGGCUCAAACCUCCAGCCUGCAGUGGGUACGGGCAGACUAGAGUGCGGUAGGGGGAGAUUGGAAUUCCUGGUGUAGCGGUGGAAUGCGCAGAUAUCAGGAGGAACACCGAUGGCGAAGGCAGAUCUCUGGGCCGUAACUGACGCUGAGGAGCGAAAGGGUGGGGAGCAAACAGGCUUAGAUACCCUGGUAGUCCACCCCGUAAACGUUGGGAACUAGUUGUGGGGUCCAUUCCACGGAUUCCGUGACGCAGCUAACGCAUUAAGUUCCCCGCCUGGGGAGUACGGCCGCAAGGCUAAAACUCAAAGGAAUUGACGGGGACCCGCACAAGCGGCGGAGCAUGCGGAUUAAUUCGAUGCAACGCGAAGAACCUUACCAAGGCUUGACAUAUACGAGAACGGGCUAGAAAUAGUCAACUCUUUGGACACUCGUAAACAGGUGGUGCAUGGUUGUCGUCAGCUCGUGUCGUGAGAUGUUGGGUUAAGUCCCGCAACGAGCGCAACCCUCGUUCUAUGUUGCCAGCACGUAAUGGUGGGAACUCAUGGGAUACUGCCGGGGUCAACUCGGAGGAAGGUGGGGAUGACGUCAAAUCAUCAUGCCCCUUAUGUCUUGGGCUUCACGCAUGCUACAAUGGCCGGUACAAAGGGCUGCAAUACCGUAAGGUGGAGCGAAUCCCAAAAAGCCUGUCCCAGUUCGGAUUGAGGUCUGCAACUCGACCUCAUGA
rnacentral:rRNA from 2 species